AGAAGCUCAGGCUCAGCUAGAAGCAGCUGCUCACCUGGUAAAGCUGCUGGACUCACCUGCUCAGAGGUCGAUGAGUUCAGGUUGGUGGGAGGAGCCAGUCGCUGUGCAGGAAGACUGGAGCUGAAAUAUCUUGGAGAACAGAGACCUGUGAUGAACGAUUUCUUCACCCUGGAGACAGCAGCUCUCAUCUGUGAACAUCUGAACUGUGGCUCUGCUGUUUCUGUUGACCCAACUGAUGCAUCAGAUCGAUCUGUGUUUGGUAUCAACCCAGACUGUGUUCGAUCUCAAUCAAAUCUGUGGAACUGUGUGGAAUCAUGGAGUAACCCUCGCACCCUGAAACUCACCUGUUCAGACUCGGUGCGGCUGCUGAAUGGAUCCAGUCAUUGUUCAGGCAGACUGCAGGUGAAGACUA